AUUAAUUUAGGCUAUCUGGUCAUCCUGGACGAGUUGGACUGAAUGGUCUGUUUCUAUUCUGUAUAUCUUUAUGAUUCUAUUACUCGAAGACACUCAACAUCAUUGAGAGUAAAAAAAACCCUCUUGAAUGACACAUCAACCUUCAACAUUCAUACUUUUCACUACUAAUGUAUGAUGACAACUAAGUGUAUCCACUGCAGGAUGCAUUUGAACAACUCAUCAAGGCCCCUUAGUCAGCAGCUUCCAAACCCAUGACCACUACCAUUAAGAAGAACAAGGGCAACAGAUACAAAGGAAAACCACAAUACACUCACCAUCCUGACUUGGAAAUGUAUCACUGUUUCUUUUUUGCAACUGGGUCAAAUACUUGGAACUUCAUCCUUCAGCACUGUGGAUGCCCUAAUUCAGGGCCCAGGCCAUGAGUUUCCAGCCUAUACAUCACCUAAAUAUGGGCCACAUAUUGUUCAUUCUUCAGAAAGGCAGAAACUAUACCAAUAGAAGUCUAAAUGUAGUUUCAUGCUAUUCAGCAAUAUGAAAAGCGUAACGACAGCAACACCAACACUUAUAACUAGAGUGUUCUGAUAAAUGCUCAUUGGAACUCAUCUAUAGGAUUCAACCACAGAAGCUGUGGUCGCUGUACAAAGAGCUGUUCCAUGAAUGAUGAGAGAAACACGCUCAACUUCUUUGAAGAUGUUACAAAUAAAGAAGCUCUCCUUGUUUGCUGCUUCCACUGAUGAAGUCAACAUGGUUUAAUUUCCAUCCUCAAGUAAAGAACAAAGCCAACAGGACCUGACAAUUACAGAUGGCAUUCACCACAUGGAACAAGCAAAGUAGAAAAUCCCACCAUUUUAUCACAGCCCAUUAUUCAUUCAUUUUCUGACAGGGUUUGUGAUUACAGAUCACUGGAUUGACUAACUAGACAUCUGCAAAGUGAAUUACAGAACAGGUUUGUUUCAUCUCACAAUUGUCAGACCAUGUUGUAAUUCUUCACAAUAGUUGUAUGCUGAAGAACUAUUUAUGGCAGAAUAAAUCAUAAUUAAGGCCUUGGUUUGCUCAAUUUACACAGUUAAGCAAAAAUUAAUUAAAAAUAGUUAUUUCUUUGCCAAAGAAGAAAGAUCAGGAGCAGCAUAUCUCUAUAUUUAGUUAUUUUGUGUCUUUAUUCACUUUUUUUCUUGAUUGUUUCAGAGUGAACCUCUUGCACUUGUUGACUAACACAAUCAAAUGAUUGUAGAUAGCAUCCAAUGUUUAUAACCACAUUUAAUGCUGUUUACUGGUCAUAUCUGAAGCACCCUAAGCAUUUGUACUAAGCCUAUGUAUAGCCAUCAUUAACUAAAAGCAAGCUAGAUCGGAAGAGAUAAUAUUAAAUGUUCAAAUAAUUUUUAUUGUAUCUAGUGACAUUAUGAAAUGAAGGGUUAUUUGAGAAAGACUUCCACUGUCAAUAAUAAAAGUAAUUGCUUCAUAAAA